UGUGCACCGGUGGGGUCCCUCAGCCUGGCCUGCACUCUCUCACAAUCCUGGACCGCUCAGGGGAUAUUGGAGAGCCGGUUUUGGCCCGAACCCGCAGGCCAGGCUGAGGGACCCCACUGGUGCACG
rnacentral:pre_miRNA from 1 species